AUUGAACGCUGGCGGCAGGCCUAACACAUGCAAGUCGAACGAGUGGCGGACGGGUGAGAAAUGUCUGGGAAACUGCCUGAUGGCGGGGGAUAACUACUGGAAAAGGUAGCUAAUACCGCAUACCAUCAGAUGUGCCCAGAGUGGAUUGGCUAGUUGGUGGGGUAAAGGCUCACCAAGGCGACGAUCCCUAGCUGGUCUGAGAGGAUGACCAGCCACACUGGAACUGAGACACGGGCCAGACUCCUACGGGAGGCAGCAGUGGGGAAUAGUGCACAAUGGGCGCAAGCCUGAUGCAGCAAUGCCGCGUGUAUGAAGAAGGCCUUCGGGUUGUAAAGUACUUUCAGCGGGGAGGCGUUACCCGCAGAAGAAGCACCGGCUAACUCCGUGCCAGCAGCCGCGGUAAUAC
rnacentral:rRNA from 1 species